UACGUAGGGAGCAAGCGUUGUUCGGAUUUACUGGGCGUAAAGGGCGCGUAGGCGGCAUGGCAAGUGGAAGGUGAAAUCCCUCGGCUCAACUGAGGAACUGCCCUCCAAACUGCUUUGCUUGAGUCCGGGAGAGGUGAGUGGAAUUCCCAGUGUAGCGGUGAAAUGCGUAGAUAUUGGGAGGAACACCAGUUGCGAAGGCGGCUCACUGGACCGCAACUGACGCUGAGGCGCGAAAUCCUGGGUAUCAAACUUC
rnacentral:rRNA from 1 species